CUUGCGUGGCGUUAAAACAAACCAUUCAACAAUAGCCACCACUUGCCGGUGACGCAGCAACUCGUGACGGUAGCGUUUUUCUCAGGGUUUACUUCAACAACUACAAAAACUUGUUCAAUUCAAUUCAGAUUUUCGAUUCUUUGAUUUCGCAAUCCAAACGGUGAAGUUACUCUGGAUCGAUUAUCGCUGAUUCUUUUUUCCGAUUGUUGCAAUUUUUUUUUUGCAUUCACGCGUUUCGCGUUCAGAUUCACGCGCUUUACGAUUGAAGUUACUGUUACAUAGAUUGAUUCGUGUUUCGUUUAAUCGAGUUGGAUUUCUGUUCAUUGCAGUAAUCGUCAUGACUCAGGCUGUGCAAGUGUUGAAUAGGUAUGGAACGGAUUUUGUUGCGGAAGGUAGGGGUUCAGAUUCGGAGUGUUUCGCUGGUUUUGAAUGUUUUCUGAACAUUGUGAGAGCUUUGGGAAUGGGAUCUUGUAUAUCAGAGGUUGGUGCUGGUGGUUCGCCUCCUCUGUUAACUUAUUCGCAGGAAUUGAAUGUUGGCGACGGUGGGAAGAGGAAGAGGAUAAGGGGUUCAUCUACCAUGGAUUAUAAGGUGCCUGGGAGAAUGUUCUUGAAUGGGUCAAGUGAUGUUGCUUCCAUGUAUUGUAAGCAAGGUAGAAAAGGAGUCAACCAAGAUGCUAUGCUUGUUUGGGAGAACUUUUGUUCAAAGGAGGACACUAUUUUUUGUGGUGUUUUUGAUGGCCAUGGACCUUAUGGCCAUAGGGUUGCAAAAAAAGUUAGGGAUUCUUUCCCUUUAAAGCUUGGUGCACAAUGGGAUUUGCAUCGUAAGAAUGAAGCUGGAUUCAGUAAUCAAAAUGGUGCUGCCACAAGUUAUAAUUCUGAAGAGCAAAUUAGACAGGUCGGCAAGAACUUUGAUCUUGAGCUCGAUGGAUCAAAUACUAUCUUGGCAUUAAGAGAAUCCUUUUUGAAGGCUAGCAAGAUUAUGGACAAAGAACUGAAACUGCAUCGUGAUAUUGAUUGCUUUUGCAGUGGGACUACAGCAGUUACCUUGAUCAAGCAGGGGCUGAAUCUUGUUAUUGCAAAUGUGGGGGAUUCAAGAGCUGUAUUGGGAACCCGAGAUCAUGAAGAUUCUCUUAUUGCUGUUCAGUUGACUAUUGACCUUAAGCCUAAUCUUCCAAAGGAAGAAGAGAGGAUUAAGCAACGUAAAGGAAGGGUGUUUUCCCUUAAGAAUGAGCCUGAUGUGUCUCGAGUUUGGCUACCUAAUUCUGAUUUCCCAGGUCUAGCUAUGGCACGGGCUUUUGGAGAUUUUUGCCUAAAGGAUGUUGGAUUGAUUUCUGUUCCAGAUGUCUCAUAUCACCGCCUUACAGAGAAGGAUGAAUUUGUUGUGUUGGCAACAGAUGGGAUUUGGGAUGUUUUAUCAAAUGAAGAAGUUGUGGAGAUUGUGGCAUCUGCACCGCAGUCUACUGCUGCUCGAUUACUGGUUGAGUCAGCUGUUCAUGCUUGGAGGACAAAAUUUCCUUUCUGUAAGGUUGAUGAUUGUGCUGCAGUGUGCCUCUUCCUCAAUUCUGAUUCUGAGUCGAAGGCAGAAGAUACCCCAGACAAGUUGAUGCCAGAUGCAACAACCGACCCAGUUGAUCAAUCAUCUCUAUGUAGUGAGAACGGAAUUGAAGCGGAAGCUGAAAAACUGCAGUGAUAGUAUAGCUUUUGCGCCAUAUCUCUUCCCACACCCUUUUCAAUUUAGAAGUUUGGGAAAAUUGUGCAAAGAGAAUCAAUAUUCUUUUCAUUAUUUAUGUUUCAUUUUCGUGGACAGCAUUUGAUGGGUGGGGUUGGAGGAGUUUAAUAUAUGUUUUGAAUCCGGAGGAAAAGGGGUACCGGGCUUAUUUUUUGUGCUAGAGGAUGCUUUUUUUCCUUCCAGCUUGGCAGUGUUUCUGUGAGAGUUUGUUUCCAUGGCGGUUCGAUGGAUGAGAUUGGGUGGUGACUGGUGAGGUCAAUACGACCAGGCAACGUUCGGUCUGUGAAACAGAACAUCUUUAUGUGGAUUUGUAAUGAUAGUGAAGAGAAACAUCGAUUUGGUAGUCGAACAUUAGACUUGAUGUGUCAAGUUAAUCCAAUGGCGGGGAAAGGAGAAGUAGAUUCCCCGAAAGGUCAUGCUUUGUGCAACACAACUUGUGUGCAUAAUAACAGCUCUGAAGCAGAUAUAGUGAAAAUACUCCCUCUGUCUUCUUACCUUAAAUUAUAAGGAAAAAAACAGUUUCUUAAAGUAUAUUUUUUAAGUAAAGUUAAAUGUAAAUUUCUUUUAGUUUACCCUCUUUCAUCCUCCCCUAAUCAAUGAAAAUUGUCUUCUACA